GCGAGAAAACUUUGCAAUGUGCGAAAGCACGACAAGGUUAAUCCGAGUGGUUUCUGCUAAAGGAACCUUUUGUUAGUCCUAGAAACACUAACGAAUAAGGGGUGGGCAAGUUCUGGUGUCAGCCGCCGCGGUAAAACCAGCACCUCAAGUGGUCAGGAUGAUUAUUGGGCCUAAAGCAUCCGUAGCCGGCUCUGUAAGUUUUCGGUUAAAUCUGUACGCUCAACGUACAGGCUGCCGGGAAUACUGCAGAGCUAGGGAGUGGGAGAGGUAGACGGUACUCGGUAGGAAGGGGUAAAAUCCUUUGAUCUAUUGAUGACCACCUGUGGCGAAGGCGGUCUACCAGAACACGUCCGACGGUGAGGGAUGAAAGCUGGGGGAGCAAACCGG
rnacentral:rRNA from 1 species